AUUGAACGCUGGCGGAAUGCUUUACACAUGCAAGUCGAACGGCAGCACGGACUUCGGUCUGGUGGCGAGUGGCGAACGGGUGAGUAAUGUAUCGGAACGUGCCCAGUCGUGGGGGAUAACGUAGUGAAAAUUACGCUAAUACCGCAUAUGAUCUAUGGAUGAAAGCGGGGGAUCGCAAGACCUCGCGCGAUUGGAGCGGCCGAUAUCAGAUUAGGUAGUUGGUGGGGUAAAGGCCCACCAAGCCAACGAUUUGUAGCUGGUCUGAGAGGACGACCAGCCACACUGGAACUGAGACACGGUCCAGACUCCGACGGGAGGCAGCAGUGGGGAAUUUUGGACAAUGGGCGAAAGCCUGAUCCAGCCAUUCCGCGUGCAGGAUGAAGGCCCUCGGGUUGUAAACUGCUUUUGUACAGAACGAAAAGGUUUCUACUAAUACUAGGAGCUCAUGACGGUACUGUAAGAAUAAGCACCGGCUAACUACGUGCCAGCCGCCGCGGUAA
rnacentral:rRNA from 1 species